UCAGUAGAGACACUGAAACAAUGAAAUAUCUGAAUAUUAACAAUAAGAUUUUGUAUUCAAAUGCAUUUCAGAAUCUGAGUGAGUGAAGAACAUGAACAACGUUAAGAAGUACUUUUUAGGUUUUGGGCAAAAUGGAAGUUCUGAACACAAUGACAAAGAUACAGAAGAAAAUUUAUUUGGGAAGUGCAUAUGUAACUCAAGAGUUGACAAAUCAUCUAAUAGAAUUUAUCAUCUUUUUCUUUUUCCUGAACCAGAUGGCCCCUCUUUAAUUAAAAUGAGUGUAUGGUUCCAAAGCUUUCAUUGCUGUCUCCCCAUGGCCCAGUUGUACCACAAAUGAUUCUCACUUCUGGGAAAAUAUAUUGUCUUCCUACAUAACAAGAACCUUUGAAGCCACCUUGCAACUCAGUCUCCCUCUUUUUCUUAGUCUAAUUAUCUUUCAAAAAUAAUCAGAAUUGUAAUUUAAAUAUUACAGUACAUAAUUAACCACACUGGUUGACAGAGAAUGAGAAAUUGUGGCCCCAGGCAAGCAUCAAAAUUAAUAUAUACAAUUGGGAAUACAUCUUGUCAUGAAGGAGUGUCAUCUGUCUAGUAUGCAGAGAGAAGCUGAGCUGAGCAGUCCGGGACCUCCUCUGACCAGACCUCUAUCUUGGUUGCUCUGGCAGGAACUUCCAGUACAAUGUUGAUGAGCAGUGGUAAAAGGAUUUUACGGUUUUCUGCUAUCUGGAUUUUCCCAGAGAUCUGCUAAAUCCUAGACUUCAUCUUGGUCUAAAGAAGGGCAAGUCCUCUCUCCAGCUCUUCAUUGCUGACUAUAACUGAUGGAACAGGAAUGCUAAGUCCCUUACCUGCCUUCUCCUAGGACAUCCUGGGAGAAACUGUGACUGUGGGUGUGUUCUCAAAAUUCACCAACAUGAUUCCCCUGGUGGUUAUAUGACUCUAGAAAGGGAGUUUAAAUGGAAUGAUACAAUUCAAAGAUAUUUUCAUGUAAACAGCCAGUAGUAACCACUAUACUAGUUAGUUUGUAUUUACCAGAUUCCAUGUCAAAGGACAAGAAUUUAUCUCUAAAUCCACUGGGACAAAAAUCCAGUAUCUCACCCUUUUUUCUGCGUGCUGUGAAACAUUGUGGGAAGGUACUUGGUACUUUUUGUUGUUGUUUUCUCCUUUCUUUGAAUCUUUGGCUUUGACAAGCAUGGAAUGAAAAUCAUAUACAGUGUGGAGCUUAUAGCAUAGGAGAGUGUAGAGGCAACGAGAAUAAAAAUGUCGGGAUAAUUUCUUGAAAAAUGACUUAGAGGAGGAUGUCUUAUUUUUGUCUCAUACAACCUCUCUCAUGGCUCUUCAAUGUUGCUAACCACGGCUAGCAGUGCAAUUUCCAACAAGUAAACUGUAAUCUAGUCAAUGUUGUGGGGGUUGUACGUGUCAACCAAGGGUCAAAUAUAGCUCUACCUGUCAAGAGUUGCAAAGUAAAUGUAGAAUCUUACUUUCCUGAAGUGCAUAUAAUUUAAGUUUCUUGUUCUGUUCUUUGCUGUGGCAUUAUCAAAACUUAAACCCACACCAUUUCCCCACUGAGUCAUUUUCAAUGCGUGAAAAUAUGCUUUCAAGCUAUAACUGCAUCAAUACCUGUGGUUAUACUUUCUAUUGAGAAUAGAAAUGCUUUUUCCCCCCCUUCAGAGCUGUCAAAACUCCUGAUGCUGAGGAGUUGAUUUUGGAAAAUCCUGCUACCAGCAGAAAGUGAAGAAAGUCCUUCAUUUCACAAUUGAUGUCAUUCUAAUAUGCCAGUGUUUUUUAUAACGGUGCA